rnacentral:lncRNA from 7 species
AGUGUAGUUUGGGGAUGACCAGCUUGUGGCUGAGGGCCCACGUACUGUUGAACUAAACUGCCUCUGUGUCACAUCAUCUGCUUCAUCCAGCAUGGGGCUUAGCCUCAGACUCCCUCAGGAAGGGAAGGACGUGCAUCCUGCCUGUCCUGUGCAUACGGUGUUCCUCUCCAUGGACUCUUUCCAAGGUGUUGGUCUCCAGAAUGCUCCUGGCUCUGCUCUUCUUGGAAGCAAUGGUGAGACAUCUGUCAGUGUGAGCCCAUAGAGGGAAGCUGAGGGGACUUACUUCGUUUGACUGGCUCCGUCAUCCUCAGGAGGAAACUUUCCUCUGCAAGAUGGUGAAAUAGUGCCCAUGUGGAAACGUUCUGACUGCAUGCGCCUGGAGUCCGGCAUUGUUGCAGAGGAGGAGAGCGGCAUAGGAUGGCUCCAAAGAAAAGAGGUCUGCAUCAGAAGGAAAACCUCCUGCCAUGCCAGCUUGCCCAGACCUAAUGGUGAGACGGCCUUUCCCAGCUACACUAAGGGCUGCUUCUUGUGGACUGGAAGUAUUGCCAAAGACAUUUCUGUGUUCCUACACCUUUUCUCUUUGCGGCAUCACUUAUGGACAUGUAAGUAGUAGGUUAGUUUCUAUUCUCACUCUGGGGGGUUGGGUUCCAAACUGUUUAUUGAGUAAUAAAAAGAGAAAAUGGCGAGUCAUUGCCCAGGGAUAAUGUGCUAAUAAUUUUAUGACUGGACAAAUGGUUGCAACAGCCCACAAAUGGCUGUAGGCAGGAAACCUGGUGUCUAUUGCUGACAGAGCCACCCCCAAGGAGAUAAAACCUCACUUUUGGUGAUCAAAGUUGAUGCAACAACUGUGAUCUAUUAAAAAUUACUUU